GACGAACGCUGGCGGCGUGCCUAAUACAUGCAAGUCGAACGCAUUUUCUUUCACCGUAGCUUGCUACACCGAAAGAAAAUGAGUGGCGAACGGGUGAGUAACACGUGGGUAACCUGCCCAUCAGCGGGGGAUAACACUUGGAAACAGGUGCUAAUACCGCAUAAUUCCAUUUACUGCAUGGUAGAUGGAUGAAAGGCGCUUUUGCGUCACUGAUGGAUGGACCCGCGGUGCAUUAGCUAGUUGGUGGGGUAACGGCCUACCAAGGCUGCGAUGCAUAGCCGACCUGAGAGGGUGAUCGGCCACACUGGGACUGAGACACGGCCCAGACUCCUACGGGAGGCAGCAGUAGGGAAUCUUCGGCAAUGGACGCAAGUCUGACCGAGCAACGCCGCGUGAGUGAAGAAGGUUGUCGGAUCGUAAAACUCUGUUGUUAGAAAAGAACAAGGAUGAGAGUGGAAAGUUCAUCCCUUGACGGUAUCUAACCAGAAAGCCACGGCUAACUACGUG
rnacentral:rRNA from 1 species